CCCGCGGGAUCCCCCCCGCCCCCCCUCCCGACGUCAUCCUCAGCACCAUCAAUGAGAUGCAAACAUGAAAGACAAGAGGAAGAAGAAGGACCGCACCUGGGCCGAGGCUGCCCGCCUGGCACUAGAAAAACACCCCAACUCCCCAAUGACAGCAAAGCAGAUUCUGGAGGUCAUUCAGAAAGAAGGCUUAAAAGAGACAAGUCUGGUUUCAGACCCCGGCAUGGCUUGGAGACAGCGUUGGUGUGUAUGAAGGCUCUUCCUCGAAUGAAGGAUUUGGGACACCUUUCCAUGAUGAUUGUAUUAGAGCCUCAGCUGCUUUCGUGGUGGUCAUGAGGUGAUGCUGAACCGAAUGCUUGAACUAGCAGGAGUGGCUGGGAUUGCAUUGGAGUGGUUCCGUUCAUUCCUUCCGGGUAGGUACCAGCUAGUGUUGUGGGUGAAAUGGACAUUGAGGGUCUUCCUGUAUGGAACCCUAUGGCAGUCCCUCAUUUCCUCUAUUCAUAUUUAGUGGACAUGAGAGAGUCACAGGAUGCCUGAAGGCCAGGCAGUGUGAGCUGAAUGACUGGGUCAAAAGGUGAUGAGAGAGAUUCCCCACCUGAAGUCACAUCUGUCAUUUUUGCUGCUCCAGUGUGACAAUGCAGACUAGCAUGGAGACUCAGAAAGUGGGGUUUGUUGGGGAGUGAAAAUAUGAAAGGCUAUAGGGUUCCUUUUAAUUUCCCUGCUUGAAUUACAGUCUUUGUCAACUGUGGCCAUAUGUUACAUACAAAUUUAUCUAAUCAUAAGAAUCCUACAUGAUAUCAGAUAGCAGUGUUUAUUUUUCUCCCUGGAAAAUCUCCAAGGCUUCUUCCCUCUAAAUGCUGACUACGUCCCCAUGGUCUUCUUGGUAUAAGUUGUAGUCUGCUCAUUACCCACUUGUUUAGGACUGUUUAAAGGAAAGUAGCCUGAUUACAUUAAUAAUUGCCUUUGAGGCUAAAGGUGAACACACUGUUUUUUCUUCGCCGAAAGCACCUCAUUAUUCUGGCUGUUGUACUAAGAACCAAAUUGGGUUGCACCGUUAAGGAAUAUUCUAGCAUACACACUACCUCUGUUUUCUCUUGUGCUGCUCAAGUACUGCAUAUUCUUACAAAGAAUGUGCUAGAGUUUCUUCCCUAUCGGAUGUGUACCUUAGAAACAUGGUGCUUCUUCUUGGUUGCUGUUGGUUCAUAUAAUAUGAUUUCAGUUAUUUUCAUUUAGAGAAUGACAUGUGUCUUCAGUGCUGAACAUAGAGGAAGUUCAGGUAGAGGCCCGAAGGGGAUCACAGAUGUGUGUAAAUAUCAUUAGAGCCGCUGGUUGAAUGUCAUCCCGGCAAAAGGGCAGGAAACUCAACGUUUGUGCAGUAAUUGAGGAGUGUCAG